rnacentral:rRNA from 1 species
UACAGAGGGUGCGAGCGUUGUUCGGAAUUAUUGGGCGUAAAGAGCGCGUAGGCGGUGCGGUAAGUCACCUGUGAAAUCUCCUGGCUCAACUGGGAGCUUGCAGGCGAAACUGCCGUGCUGGAGUGUGGGAGAGGUGCGUGGAAUUCCUGGUGUAGCGGUGAAAUGCGUAGAUAUCAGGAGGAACACCUGUGGCGAAAGCGGCGCACUGGACCACAACUGACGCUGAGGCGCGAAAGCUAGGGGAGCAAACAGG